AAAGUUUUAGCUUAAUUAAAGUGGCUGUUUUGCGUACAGCAGAUGUGGGUUAGUGUCCUGCAAGUUUUA
rnacentral:tRNA from 1 species